rnacentral:rRNA from 1 species
CGGACGGGUGAGUAACGCGUGGGUAACCUGCCUUGUACUGGGGGACAACAGUUAGAAAUGACUGCUAAUGCCGCAUAAGCGCACAGUAUCGCAUGAUACAGUGUGAAAAACUCCGGUGGUACAAGAUGGACCCGCGUCUGAUUAGCUAGUUGGUAAGGUAACGGCUUACCAAGGCGACGAUCAGUAGCCGACCUGAGAGGGUGACCGGCCACAUUGGGACUGAGACACGGCCCAA